AGAUCUCUCCUUUUGGAGUUUUUGACUGUAAGCCUAGGACGGGGCGCUGCAGUAGCUGAUUACCCAGCAGGAGGUGCAGUUCCAGCAGGGAUUUUAAGAACAUGAAUGGCCAGAUUUGAAGUCUGCCUUGCUUGAUGUACUGCCUCUGUCUGCUCUGAACAAGAGACCUAAAUAGGAGUUGGAAAAAAAAAAAAAAAUCUUCCUAAUUUUUUGUUAGCCUUCAGAAGUAUCUAGCUUAAGGGCAUCCAGAAGUGAAACUGUGUCACUAUAUCCUAUGAAGUGUACACAGUCAGUUUUCAUUUCUUCUUCAACCCAAAGGCCCCAGUAACAUUGAGAAUUCACUUCCUAAACGAAAAUUUCAAAUGUCACUGAAAGUGUGUGGAGACAAAGAUUAGCAGAACUCGAUUGUAAUUUAUGCAGAUUUUUGUUGCCUCCAUCCACUAAUUGUU